rnacentral:rRNA from 1 species
UACGUAGGGUGCAAGCGUUGUCCGGAAUUAUUGGGCGUAAAGAGCUCGUAGGCGGCCUGUCGCGUCGGAUGUGAAAGCCCGGGGCUUAACCCCGGGUCUGCAUUCGAUACGGGCAGGCUAGAGUUCGGUAGGGGAGAUCGGAAUUCCUGGUGUAGCGGUGAAAUGCGCAGAUAUCAGGAGGAACACCGGUGGCGAAGGCGGAUCUCUGGGCCGAUACUGACGCUGAGGCACGAAAGCGUGGGGAGCAAACAGG